rnacentral:rRNA from 1 species
GGGAUAGAAUUCCAGGAGUAGCGGUGAAAUGCGUAGAUAUCUGGAGGAAUACCAAAGGCGAAGGCAGUCCCCUGGUCCGAUACUGACACUGAGGUACGAAAGCGUGGGGAGCAAACAGGAUUAGAUACCCUGGUAGUCCACGCCCUAAACGAUGUCGAUUAGCCAUUGGAAGGACCCCUUUUCCUUUCAGUGACGUAGCUAACGCGUUAAAUCGACCGCCUGGGAAGUACGACCGCAAGGUUAAAACUCAAAGGAAUUGACGGGGACCUGAACAAGCGGUGAAUGAUGUGGAUUAAUUCGAUGCUACGCGAAGAACCUUACCUACCUUUGACAUGGCCAAAGUUCUACCGAGAGGCGGAAGUACUCGUAAGAGGAUUGGCGCACAGGUGCUGCAUGGUUGUCGUCAGUUCGUGUCGUGGGAUGUUGGGUUCAGUCCCGCAACGAACGCAACCCUUAUCUUUAAUUGCUCCUAUUUUAACAGGCACUUUAAAGAAACUGCCAAUGAUAAGUUGGAGGAAGGUGGGGAUCACGUCAAGUCCGCAUGGCCUUUAUAGGUAGGGCUUCACACGUCAUACAAUGGUUAGAACAAAGAGCUGCAAAUUCGUAAGAAGGAGCCAAUCUCACAAACCUAACCUCAGUUCGAAUUGCGGUCUGCAACUCGAGCGCAUGAAGCCGGAAUCGCUAGUAAUCGUGGAUCAGAAUGCCACGGUGAAUACGUUCUUAGGUCUU